CAGCAGCCACGGGAAUACAGAGGGUGCGAGCGUUAAUCGGAUUUACUGGGCGUAAAGCGUGCGUAGGCGGCUUCUUAAGUCGGAUGUGAAAUCCCUGAGCUUAACUUAGGAAUUGCAUUCGAUACUGGGAAGCUAGAGUAUGGGAGAGGAUGGUAGAAUUCCAGGUGUAGCGGUGAAAUGCGUAGAGAUCUGGAGGAAUACCGAUGGGGAAGGCAGCCAUCUGGCCUAAUACUGACGCUGAGGUACGAAAGCAUGGGGAGCAAACAGGAUUAGAUACCCCCGUAGUCCCUGUCUCUUAUAC
rnacentral:rRNA from 1 species